GGGCCCGCACAAGCGGUGGAGCAUGUGGUUUAAUUCGAUGAUACGCGAGGAACCUUACCAGGGCUUAAAUGUAGUGGGACAGGUCUAGAGAUAGACCCUUCUUCGGACUCAUUACAAGGUGCUGCAUGGUUGUCGUCAGCCCGUGCCGUGAGGUGUCAGGUUAAGUCCUAUAACGAGCGCAACCCCUAUCGUUAGUUGCCAGCGAGUAAUGUCGGGAACUCUAACGAAACUGCCAGUGCAAACUGUGAGGAAGGUGGGGAUGACGUCAAAUCAUCACGGCCCUUACGUGUUGGGCUACACACGUGCUACAAUGGUAUCUACAACAGGAAGCAAGACUGCGAAGUUAAGCAAAUCCUUAAAAGAUACCUCAGUUCGGAUUGCACUCUGCAACUCGAGUGCAUGAAGCUGGAAUU
rnacentral:rRNA from 1 species